rnacentral:sRNA from 1 species
UCAUAAACCCGCCAUUCGCUGUGGUCCCGAUUCUUCCAUCGGGACCACAGCGAAUGGCGGGACUACAA